UAUAAUACUAAUUGUUAUAUAAUACUCCUUUUUCAUUAAUUUUUCUGAGGAUAAGCUCAGAAAAAAAUUAAGAUUUUUUUUAAUCAAAAUUGCUAUGUGGGCUUAAGAUUGGUCACCAUAAAAGUUUGUUAUAAAAUAGUAAUAUUAGUUCUAAAAAUAAAUAUAUUUUAAUCUAAAUUCCUACGGGGAUAAAAACUUUAAUUAGAACAAAGUUUUAUGCCUAUGCUAGGAUGAGUAUUAAAACCCAAUUAUAAAAAAGAAAAUUUGAUAUAUUUUCUUCAAAAAAAAGAUUCUAAGAAACUAAUUAAUUAGAAGGAAUUCGGCAAGUUUAGUUGUUUCGCCUGUUUAUCAAAAACAUGGCUCUUUGCUUACAUAAAUAUAGAGAGUCGAGCCUGCCCAGUGAAUAUUUUAACGGCCGCGGUACUCUGACCGUGCAAAGGUAGCAUAAUCAUUUGCCUUAUAAUUGAAGGCUAGUAUGAAUGGUUUGACGAGAGCAACACUGUCUCCUUUUUAUUUUUGAGAAUUUAACUUUUAGGUGAAGAGGCCUAAAUUUUAUUGAAGGACAAGAAGACCCUGUCGAGCUUAAAAGAUAUUAUAGAAACUUAGUAUAUUUUUAAAUAAAUUUUUCUACUAAGCUUUUUAGUUGGGGCGACUAAGGAACAAAAAAAGCUUCUUCUUAAUAAGAGACAGUUAUGUAUAGAUCCGAUAAUAACGAUUAAAGGAAUUAGUUACCGCAGGGAUAACAGCAUAAUCUCUCUUAAGAGAUCUAAUCGAAAGAGGGGGUUGUGACCUCGAUGUUGGACUAGAAUAU
rnacentral:rRNA from 1 species